rnacentral:rRNA from 1 species
GUCCACGCCGUAAACGGUGGGCACUAGGUGUGGGGACCAUUCCACGGUUUCUGUGCCGCAGCUAACGCAUUAAGUGCCCCGCCUGGGGAGUACGGCCGCAAGGCUAAAACUCAAAGGAAUUGACGGGGGCCCGCACAAGCGGCGGAGCAUGUGGAUUAAUUCGAUGCAACGCGAAGAACCUUACCUGGGUUUGACAUGCACCAGACGCUGCCGGAGACGGUAGUUCCCUUGUGGUUGGUGUGCAGGUGGUGCAUGGCUGUCGU